CUAACGCAUUAAGCACUCCGCCUGGGGAGUACGGUCGCAAGACUGAAACUCAAAGGAAUUGACGGGGGCCCGCACAAGCGGUGGAGCAUGUGGUUUAAUUCGAAGCAACGCGAAGAACCUUACCAGGUCUUGACAUCCUCUGACAAUCCUAGAGAUAGGACGUCCCCUUCGGGGGCAGAGUGACAGGUGGUGCAUGGUUGUCGUCAGCUCGUGUCGUGAGAUGUUGGGUUAAGUCCCGCAACGAGCGCAACCCUUGAUCUUAGUUGCCAGCAUUCAGUUGGGCACUCUAAGGUGACUGCCGGUGACAAACCGGAGGAAGGUGGGGAUGACGUCAAAUCAUCAUGCCCCUUAUGACCUGGGCUACACACGUGCUACAAUGGACAGAACAAAGGGCAGCGAAACCGCGAGGUUAAGCCAAUCCCACAAAUCUGUUCUCAGUUCGGAUCGCAGUCUGCAACUCGACUGCGUGAAGCUGGAAUCGCUAGUAAUCGCGGAUCAGCAUGCCGCGGUGAACACGUUCCCGGGCCUUGUACACACCGCCCGUCACACCACGAGAGUUU
rnacentral:rRNA from 2 species